rnacentral:tRNA from 1 species
GCCCGUUUAGCUCAGUCGGUAGAGCUCUGGCCUUUUAAGCCAGUGGUCGUGGGUUCGAGCCCCACGGGGGGCG